rnacentral:lncRNA from 1 species
CUGCAGCUGGAAUUAUUAAGAUGAAAGUUCAAGGUGUGAAGGAAAUUUGCUCCUUUGUAUUAAGUGAAUUCCCUAGGUUGUUACAGAGAAAGAAAAAGCUAUAAUAAAGGCUGAAUGCUGGAUACAUGUUUUAACUACUGUCUGAGUAUCUCAGUUUGAUAUUAAGCAGAUCAUUAGGUAAACAUAAGAAGUCAUCUCUCCAGGCUGCAGAGUUUGAGGCCAACUCCUGUGUAUUCUCUGAUCUCUCAGUGUAACACCCACUGAUUCUUAUGCAAUAAAGCCGCCAAACGCAGUCUUGGUCAGUACAAUAUGGUCGCCUGUUUGACACACUGUAACAGACUCUCAGCUUUUGUAAAGGGUACAAGCCUCAUCAGCUUCACUGGAAUUACUCUGCUAUCAAAGCAGAGCUCACAGCUCCUCUCUGAGCUGCUUAGACCUGGGUACUGCAUCCAUGCUUCAGGAUUUUCAGCCUCUUACAUGUGGAUUCUGUCAUUACUCCAUUCUUCAUGUGCAAUUCACUUCAGG